rnacentral:rRNA from 1 species
AGGACGAACGCUGGCGGCGUGCUUAACACAUGCAAGUCGAGCGGAAAGGCCCUUCGGGGUACUCGAGCGGCGAACGGGUGAGUAACACGUGAGCAACCUGCCCCUGGCUCUGGGAUAGCCUCCGGAAACGGGGAUUAAUACCGGACAUGACCUGGGACUGCAUGGUUCUGGGUGGAAAGUUUUUCGGCUAGGGAUGGACUCGCGGCCUAUCAGCUAGUUGGUGGGGUAAUGGCCUACCAAGGCGACGACGGGUA